rnacentral:rRNA from 1 species
UACGGAGGAUGCAGGCGUUAUCCGGAUUUAUUAGGUUUAAAGGGUGCGUAGGCGGCCUUUUAAGUCAGUGGUGAAAGUUUGCGGCUUAACCGUAAAAUUGCCAUUGAUACUGGGAGGCUUGAAUGAAGUAGAGGCAGGCGGAAUGUGUAGUGUAGCGGUGAAAUGCUUAGAUAUUACACAGAACACCGAUUGCGAAGGCAGCUUGCUAUGCUUAAAUUGACGCUGAGGCACGAAAGCGUGGGUAGCGAACAGG